GGCACUAGAUCGUGCGGCCUAGUGUCAGGCCGUGGAGCACGCGAUGGAGACGGACCUGGAGCGCGUCGUGGCACGUGACAUGGAGCUUGGUGAGCGGCUCUAGCAGGUGGGCGCCAACGGCAGGCGGGGGUACAGGGCGUGCAGCGCAGAGGAUGGGUGCGUGCUGCUGCUGCGGUGCCGGCACCUGCGUUUGUGCCGCGGGUGUGAGGUGGCUGCCGAGGAGUGCCCAUAGACAGCAGCAGCUACUGCCGGUGCUUGAGUUCUGUGCAAAGGUCUUGGUGCUGACGGAAGAGAUAAGGUUGCAAGUUGGCUUGAUUAAAUUGAGUAGUAACACAUUGUGUUGGAUUUGGUGUAUCGAUUGAAUUUGUGAGAUGAAAAUUGCAUGAUGAUUGCCCGAUUAGACACAGAAGGAGGACAUGCUGCUGCUUGCUUGCUUCGUGGAACAGGAUAUGCGAGAGCUGAUGAUAUGCUUGGUCCGGCUGCCUCAGAUCAUGGCGGAGGAGCUCUUUUCUUGGAGGUCGUGAGAGACAGGGAAAGAUCGUGAGGGGAUGGUGAGGGCAGCCUAACUGGAUUGGGCCCAUUCGUGAUGAUGUGGUCUGUUUUGAAAUAUUGGGGAGGCUAGUUUUUGGAGAUUUGCUGCGGGAUGAUAAUAUUUUAGAAAAAAAAAUUUUAGAAGAGCCUCCAAUAUAUAAUUUUGAGGGAGAAUUUUUUAGGAGACUCUUGAAGCUGCUCUUAUUGUAGUUAAUCUAGGGAGGCUACCCAUAGUGGUAAUUGUGAGUGUUUUGCGGUGUAGUCGUUUGCACCAAUCUUCCUAUUAGCUCUCCUAAUAAAUGGCAGCCGAAGAUAUAGAUACGGUAUAUCUUCAGCUGCCAUUUAUUAAUUCUAUUAUUCGGGAGAGAUCAAACCAUAUCUUUGUCAUUUACGAAUAGCUGAUUUUAUUUUGCUACUGCCUUCUUCUAGUUCUAUGUAAACAACUAGGACGUAGGAGAUAGCACAACAAAUCCAAACUAGGUAAGUCGUUGGUCCAGACGACAAAGCAAUACGUAGCCAUUGCUCUCCAUAUCAUCAGAUCAUGUCGCGCGUCAAGAAGCAUAGUAUAGUGUUUUUUGUUCUUAGCUGCUCUUGUUGUGAUGACACAGUUUUCUCUACUUGUAAUGCAGAUGGUAAGUCGUGGUACGCGAACUAGCCACCCAGCCAAAAUCUGAUACGCGAUAAUACUUGUUCCUUACUUCCUUGUAGUUUUUGAUAUGUGUUCUUUGUAUCAUCACAAUAUUUUGAGCUGACUUCUAUGUUCAAACCAUAGGAUCUUCCUUUUCCAUGUGCUGAGUUAUUACUUUUACAACCUUAAAGUUUUUGCUAAUGCUCAAAUUAUAUACCACCCCCGUUCCUUUUUAAAUUAAUGACGUUCAUACCAAAAAGUUUAGCCGCACAAAGCUCCUGUAUCUUUGCUUUGUUUUUGUGGUCUACUAAUUAAUUGGUGCGGGGAUGAACGCUUAUCUCUCUCACAAAGAAAAGUUUUGUUUCGUAACAAGUCGUCGCGGUUCAUCCUUAAUUUGUAUUUUGCGCAAAUAAACAAAAAAAAAGAAGAUUAUGGGAUUGCAGAAGUAAUUAAAUUGAGCAGAUAAAAGAUGAUCUACACAUAGUAUGCAACCAAACGAACAAGAUAUAUUAAGAUGGUGUGACAGCAUUAUCAGCACAGUUGAUCGAUGAUGACAAACUAUAGCAUUAUCAACACAGUUGACACCAAAACCUAGACCACCAAUAAGCAUGGACGAAGAAUUGUUUAUUCCGUAAACUACUAGCUAGCUAGGCACCUAAUCCGAACUGACUAACCGAAACUAUCUAAUCCAAAUCUUCUCGUCCAUUUCUGUUAUUCCAAUCGAUCGAUGGCCAUCAGAAGUGCUCGAGGUUGGAGACUCCGAGGAACGCCAUGAUUGGGCCCUGGAGCAGCUGCAUGACGGCCCUCCAUCCGGCCUGCGUGGGGUGGUCGUUGUCCCAGAAGAAGUACUCCUCCGGGUGUUCGCAGAGCGAGUAGCGCCCGUCGAGGCCGCAGUAGUCGCCGGCGUCUUCGUCGUUGGCCUCGCAGCAGGGCCGGAGGCGCUCCUUGAACUGCUUCCCGUAGAGCGUCGACCCUUCCUUGGGCUCCACCAGGUCCCUCACCACGCUGUUCACGUCCAGGAGCAUCACGUCCUCCUCGCCGCCCAGCCGGUCACGGAGCGCCGUGUUGUGCACAUCGGAGACCCAGUUGCGGCUGUCGUCGCAGGAGCUGUAGGGGUCGCUGGAUUGCCUCGUCAGCCACGGCGUGCAGCCGUACGAGAUCACCGUGUUCACCAGGACCUUGGGGACGCCCAGGUCCUGCAGAUCCGACACGAUGCUCGCCAACUCAUCGAUCACCUUCGAUAUCGUAUCGUUCAUCGCCUGCAAAUGCAAUGGGAUUAAAUAUAAUGAUCCAUCAAUAUUCUACUACGUAGAUGUGUAUAUACAUCAUAUACAUACAGCAAAUACCCAGGAUACUACUCACGUCGUUAUUGGCGUAUGCGUAGUCGUCGCCGGAGUAGGCGAGGAGCGCCACCGAGUCCCUCAGGUCCUUGCGCUCCACCACGCCGUCCCUGAUCAGGUUCCUCAGCUGCUGGACCUGCGCCCUGAGCUUGGGCACGCCCGCCGGCGUAUCCAGCGCGACGGAGCCGCCGACGGCGAAGUUCAGGCCGGCGGCGUCGAUGCCGUCGUCCCAGUCGUCGUACGUGUAGGGCGGGGGUGACUCGCUGCGGCCCAUGAUCUUGGCCAGAAAGUCCGGCUGCACCAGGCCGUCGGAGAAGCGGCCGCUCGGCUGCCUGCCGUGCGCCGUGUCCGACAUGCCGAAGGGGGAGCGCCACGAGCGGGAGCCGUAGCCGAGUUGGGGGUCCGAGUCGCCGUUGCCGGUGUCGGCGAAGUCGUCCCCGAACACCAACAGCUUCUUGGGCUUGGCAUCAGCAGGGGGGCUAUCGGUAUCAUCAUCAUCAUCAGAAGGGGGGCUAUCGGUAUCACCAUCAUCAUCAGUAGGGGGGCUAUCGAUAUCAUGAUGGUGGCCGUGGUGACGGUGGCGCCGCUGGGACGACACGUCGCCGGCGGCCACCGCUCGGGACUCCGCCACACGGCUUGCGCCUGCAUGCAUAUGCAGCCGUAGGUAAGUAGAUGCAACAACACAUACAUAUCACAUGCAUGAGAUAUAACGGUACGAAUGCUAAUGUUGACGAUAGAGUAGCUUACUGUUGAGCAGCAAGAAGAGGACGAAACAGCUAACGGCGAAAGAAUUCAUGGUCGAGAGGCGAAUGAACAGAUCAGAUUUUUUUUCUACGAGAAAGGAGCUGAGAGAAGUUUGGCUCUCUGUGCUAGGGAGGGAACACGUACGAGUUAUUUAUAGCCUAGCACCAAACAAAAUUAGGGAUUUUGAAGAGCUCUAUCUCUAGCGCUUAUUUGUUUUUUUAUCUGUUGCGGAUUUCAAAGAGCUCUAUCUCUAGCGCUGUAUCUUAACUACAUACAGAGCUUUAUCUCUUAACAAAAUGAGCUUUUUGAAGUUUGGCGGCCCGAGGAUGACGCGCGGCAUCGAGCUGAAGGUGGAGCCGGCCCACCUGUUAGCGAUCGCUACAUUAACUGAGACGCCACCGUCCAGCGCGGUUAGAGACAUUCUGAUUCCGUUCGAUGUGGAUUCCAAGAAAUGAGCUUUUUUUUACACAGUACUAAGUAGGAUUUUGUUGCAUAUCACGUAACAAAAUCCAUUUUUAACUCUGCAUUUAACUCUCUAUCCAAAUUGUUAAAAAAAUUUCUCUCCAUAUUGAGUUACUCCCUUCAACAAACUAUCCAUUUUCCACCCUCCAAAUCCUAAUAGUUAGUUUCCUCUCUAAAAAUCUACACUAUCCAUUCACUUCAACAGCCUCUCCAUUUCGCACUACAACAGACUUUCCAUUUCACACUCUCCAUUUUGCAUAUUUGGCAAGCCAAACCUGCUUGCCAAGUUUGAAGAUUGUGGAAGGGUAUUUGGCAAGCCGGAUGGGAUGGCCAUCCAGAUAGCAACUUUGUUGGAGUUGCUCUUAGGUUUGUCCUAAGUCCAACUUUGACCAAGUUUAUAGAAAAGUACAACAACAUCUACAAUACCUAAUUUGUUUCGUUGAAUGCACCAAGGAAUAUAUUUUGAUAGUACAUAUGUUUGGUUGUAUUUUUCUAUAAAUUUGGUCAAAGUUUAAUAGAUUUGACUUAGGACAAACCUAAUGUGACAUGUAAAAAAACCCGAAAGGAGUAUAUAGGAUCGUUCAUGAUUAUGAAUGAUUAUGAAUAAUUUAGUAAUUAUUAUUUUGUAAAAUGUGAUAUUUCAAAUGGAAUGGACUUUUAGACUUUAAGCUAGUGCCAAAAAAAUAUUAUAGUGAUGUCAUUUUGUGUUUUUUUUUAUCAUGAUAUCUUUAUACUAGUUAUGUAUACUGCCUAUACCACAUGUAAAGUUUUCAGUGGUAUAUAAUUAAUCUUGAUCGUCGGAUGUUUUUAUACUGAUCCUUUUUAAAUACUAGUAUAGUUACCGUAAAAGAUUAAACACAUGUUGAUGUAGCAAACUUAACCAAUCAUACCACAUGUUGAUGUAUGUAUGUAUGCAUAUGUACCAGUAUAGUUAUAUAUAUGUAUGUAUAUGUACCAGUAUAGUUACAUAAGCAGUAGGAACAAGUCACUGAAAUAAAACAUCGUCUGGCCGGCAGUAUUGAUUGAUAUUCGGGAUGGAUGGGGCUUGUCUCCGUUCCAAUGCUAGCUGCUCACAUUGGGUAUCUGCAAUACCAAAUCGAGUCUCGGCCGAGCAAAACUGGACUAAGAAUUCCAUAUGACAAGGUACUAGUGAACCUUGUUCGAUCAGCCUGACGAAAAAAGGAAUCAUAUUUCUCAGCUACGACGAUCGGCAACACCUAGCAAUGCAAUAUUCAGAGUCUGAAUAUAAUGUACCUGGGAUGUGGACCCAUUUGAGCUGGAAGUGCACCACGCCGGUGUCAACGUUCCUGAGCUUGAGGAGGAUGUCCUGCACUACCUGGCCGUCCUGCCAGAUGAUGUGGCUCUCGUCGGCGAGGCAGCAGUGCUUGUCGGGACGCACGGUGCGCACCACGGUGCCGCUGCGGAUGUCCUCCAGGUCCAUCUUGAUGAUCUGCAUCAGCGCCUCGAUGUCGAACUCCGCGUCGCCCAUCCGGUCGUCUUUGCUGAACGUGUCCUUGUCGAACACCUCCUGUGUUUGUGUUUGGGUUUCAGGAAUCAAUGUAAACGGCACAGUCAAUUGUAAUUCUUCUUCAUUUCAAUUACUGAACAAGGAGAUCGAUCUUCAGACACUAACGAGCUUGAUGGGAGCUGAUGCGUCCAUGACAGCCAGGGUCAGAUCCUCGUUCCACACUGGGUUAACCGUCUUCUUCAUCACACUCGUCUUCAGCUUCUGAUGAAGAGGUGAUCAAAAGAUGUCAAGCCAAACAAAUCAGGGCAAUAGUAAAUGUUCAAGAAAAUCGACCGAAUCGGCCGGGUAACACUUUGAAAUUUCAUCAACUAUACAUGAAUGAAAUUAAUAAGUUAUAUUGAGCAACCAACCUGGCCGUCCAAGUUGAGCACAACAUAGGGGUCACUACCCUUUGCAUCACGGUUGGCAAGGUUUACCCCUCGCAGCACGCGCACGGACAGGAAGCCUGGCAGCGUAGACAUCUCUAGCAGCUAGCUUCUUCUUCUUCACCACCGGCCUGGAGAACUGAAAAUGGAGAUGUCCUUCAGAUUCAGCUACCAUCCAUGCAUGGCUUCCGGUUUUUGUUGACGGGCUCAACAGCUGGACGAGUCCUGGCCUCAAGCUUUCAAGACUUGACCGUGUCUUCUGGGACAUGUUUCUUCAAAGUUUCACUCUUUUUGCCCUUGUUUGGUGGUGGCCAUCUAUUUUUUGGAAGCAGAAGCUCCUAUCUGGCAUCAUGGGCACAGCGAAUGUACUGCAGAACACCAUGCCUGUAUAAAUGUGUUUAGACUGUUGAUUUCAAAAAUUUGAGAACAUCAGUCAUGCAGCAUUUUAUUUAGGAUCAAAAGGAGUGUGCAGCAAAAAUCAAACCCAGAACAAGCUAGUACAAUGUGCAGGCCAAAUUCAUGCUCCCGCAGCUUUGAAGCCUAAACGGGCCCAUGGUGUAGCGCCCUUGAAGCCCAGCAGCCUCCCGAGGCCUUUGCCAAACCACCCGCAGCCCAACUACGAAACUUCAUCGCGGGCGGGCCGCAGAAUACAACCGCAGACCCAGCAAGGCCCAAGGACAUAUCGUGUGCGCAAUGCGUGUCGCAAUGUUGGAGGCCAUCACUGUGGAGAGAUAUAUUGUCAAUAUAUAGAUUACGGUAAUAGUGAGGAUAUUUGAAAUUUAGGGCCGUUUGGAUACACCCGGCUAACUUUAGCACCCUUUCGCAUCGAAUGUUUGAUACUAAUUAGGAGUAUUAAAUAUAGUCUAAUUACAAACCUAAUUGCACAGAUGGAGUCUAAUUCGCGAGACGAAUCUAUUAAGCCUAAUUAGUCCAUGAUUUGACAAUGUGAUGCUACAGUAACCAUUGCUAAUGAUGGAUUAAUUAGCUUUAAUAGAUUUGUCUCGCGAAUUAGACUGCAUCUGUGCAAUUAGUUUUGUAAUUAGCGCCCUCUUAAUUAGCAUCCGAACAUCCGAUGUGACCCUACUAAAGUUUAGCACCUCGUAUCCAAACACCCCCUUAUCUUCUCUUUCCUUAUAAUGAUCCCAGCACAUGUUUGACUCGGACGAGUGUGCCAAGAAUUGUGUACACACGUGGGAAAACAUACGGCCUUCUUGCCAUCCCAUUACACUAAUUGCUAAUAACGAUGCAACAAUUUUUUUAAAAAUUUGAUACUUAGUGGCAAUUUGUCAUCUAAACAACUUUGAAUAAGUAAUAAAUCAACUAGAUGUGUAUGUGCAAUCAAAAUCUACAAGGUUUUUUUAUAGAGUCUGCCUUCAAUCAGGUUCAUAUGUAUGAAAAAUUCGCAAUUUCUCUAACACACCAUAAUUCAAUUACAAACAUGGAAGACUAUCCGUAUCGGUUCCAAAUAAGUAUAGGCACAUGCUCCAUCUUCCGCAACAAUAAAUGUUCCUUUAGAGUUCAAAUUUUGUCCUACAAAAGAGUACACUUUUAGCUUUUAGGGAGACACAUCUAAUUAAAGCUAGGCCCACACUAAUUAACAAAAACAUGAAGCCAAUCAAAUGACUAAAUGAUACUGUUUUUAAUUCCAAUGCAUGCACAUUUUUUCAGACAGCGCGGCUUUGAAUCAUAAAUAUUACGAGGAAGGUCAUGUCUCAUGGCUAGUUAUGUUUCUGAAACUUGCUAGAAGUGUACUUAGGAAAAUUAGUAGCAAAUAAUUUGUGGUAAGCUCACCGAAAAGAGUCUUCCUUGAGUUUUAACUUUUACCCCCCCCCCCCCCACCCCCCACCCCACCCCCAUCAUAAAAACUAGCUAACUUUGUUUCGUAUACCAUUUUAUUUGAUCGAUGCAAGUUCAAAGAUUGAUCAACUACUUAAAACAUUUUGAGUAAAGCUGUUGAGUUAAUUUUCAGGAAAUCGGGCCUAAAUAAAAUAGCUCAGUUUUCAUUACUUUCUCUUUGGCUGCAACUAGGGUUUAAGAGAAUGGAAGCUGCCAUCUCGAUUCUAGAUGAAAGAAGUACCAUUUUUAUUUUAAAAGAAAGAGUUAUGUAUGCUCAAUUGCUCAACUAAAUACAAUAAAGCCAAAUUGAACUUUUUGGUUGUCACUGCCGGGAUCUGAGACCCUAGCAUCGAGAGUCAAUCAUGCUAGUGCUGUGUUUCGGCUUUGCAGAAUGCAGAGACACUGCACUUGCACAUGCAACCAAAAAGGGCAACACAUCGAUGGCACUGCCAGCAUCACAUCAUAUGCACAGCAAGGUGAAUUAUUGCCGCUCAUGCUCCCCGGCAUCCGACAUUGUAAACCUUUGGGAGAAAAUGCGGUUUCCAUCUAUCAUAUGAAUCAGCAGCGCAAUUAAGGACGGCUUUAUUCAUUGUCCCAUUAAUUUUACUUACUUACUUACUGGCAGAGGUAGCAGCAGUAGUAAUAAUCCUAAUAAUAAUUAAAACUAUUUACAUAAACCAUGUUUGAUCUGCACCCUUUAGUUUCAACAAAAGCACUAGAUUCAUGGGGUAACUUGGCCGAUAAUACAGGCAUAUAGGGGCAUGCAUCAGUUGGUACGUACAUGCUGGACAAGAGAUUAUACAGUGGUUACCCUUCUUCUUGCAAACAUAACAAUAGUUUAGCUUAAUCGCUGCCAUGAACUUAUGCUAGGAUUCAACCAACGGUGAGCAACCACUUUUGCAGGUGAGGAUGCUCGCAAUCGAUGGAUAGGCACGGCAAUUAAUCAUGGUGUGGUGGUGGUGGUUGUGGUGGUCGAGGUCGACGUGUUGUCGCCUGCUCAAGCAUUGAGGUGGCUGAUCAUCCAUGGCGGCAGGCCACCGAUGCGAAGUUGCGGCUGUGCCUGCCCUGGCUGCUGCUGCUGCUGCUGUGCCGCUGCAGCGGCCUCUUCGCCUCUCUCCCCUAUCGUCACCGGUGGGAACCUAAACAGUGGCAUGAGAUAUACAUCGUCGAUCAAUUUUUAGUAACAACUGGAAGUGAGCAUAUCUACAACCAGGGGCUUGCGUACCGGAUGUUUUGUGGAGGCGGCAGCGCCUGUGGAUCCUGCCUCAUCAGGAAGGAGGAAGAUGAUGAGCUUGUCUGGGCCUGGGCCUGCUGGGUCUGCUGGGCCUGCUGGGUCUGCUGGUCCCACUGCACCUGCUGCUGCUGCCUGCUGGCGGCCGCCUUCUGCCUCUCGGCAAGCUGCACAAAAGAGGAGCACAUCAACACUUCUAUUCUCAAUGCAAUGCCACAGUAUUUGGCAGCUUACUUCCUUCUGUAGAGCCUUGUUCUCCUCCUGCAGUGAUCUCUCCUGCACCAAACAGCAGUAAACAUUCAUCAGUCAUAUUUCUCUAUCAGCAGUUUACAGUGAUGGCUGUUCAAGAUAUGCAGGGCCUUUUAACCACAAGUAAUCAGGUAAUUGGCUACUCCAGUUCAGUGCAGUUUUAUUGGCCUGCAGUGUCCUGUUGCAGGGAAGUUUUCAGCUUUGAUUACCUUCUUCUGUAACUCAGAAAUGGACUCGACCAUAAGGUGGCUCUGCACAUCCAAACAAGGGAUUAUGUUGUUAGUUGCCAAAAAACUAAGCAUGCCAAAUUUUAGAACAGCAAACAAUGUGUAGCAGUACUACAAGCAUUACAACACAGUAAACGAAAGAAGAGAUUCCAGAUGAAAAAAUAAGCAAAACUGUUACUACCUUUCUUGAUCUGAUGUGCUUCAAUGAGCUCUCCAGCUGCUGCUCUAGUUGUUGGAGUUCUUUGAGAUUCAGAGACUCUAGAUCCUCUCCCAUCAGGUGCCUGCAAUGCAAGACACAUAGAUCAUUUGGCGUGCACCAUAUAUACACUGCAAUGCAUACUACACAAGAUGAUAGGGUUUUCUUUGAGGAAAAUAACACGACUAUAACAGUUUCACAUUAUUCAAAUUCCAAAUCACCAUCGAAUAGUUAUUACUUGUGGCAUUUUUGUAUGGUCUCAAUUUUGGCCUUCAGCUUCCUGUAUUCAUGGCACCAAUUUCCCUGAACACAAAAGGAAAUUCUGUCAGAAACGUUUAGGACUAAGCAGAUAAUGGAUGGCCCAGCAAUGAGAAGCAAACAUGUGUAUGCCUAGUUCACUAUUUUAUUUUGAAUUGAACAUAAGUUUUGCUGCUGCAGACAGCUAGUUAACAUCAGUUUUACACUACAUUCACACACAUUACCACUUGCACUCUUAUCAGCAAAAAUAGCAGUUAGUCAUGAAUUCAUGAUUAUGUUUGCCGCAAUGACAGCAGGCAUGGUACAUCUGCAAGGUUCGCACCACUGAAGCAUGAGAUAUGAAAAGAGCAAUGAGAACAGAUCAAAUUCAAUGCAAAGCAUGGUUAUCAACAGAAUAAUAUUCAUCUAAAAAUCAGCAGAAUGAUUUCCUAUUACUUUUAUACAAAAAUCCCAUUACGUUAUUGCCUAAAAGCAAUGAUAAUUUCAGUAUUCAGACAUUCAGUUAAUGUGGAUUAUAAGUAAAGAUGAGUACAUGAUGACUAAUUCGAAUGAUUUAUGAUGAAUAUUAAUGGAGGUGCACCGUAUUGACAUUGCAUAUGAGAGGGGAAUUGAGAAUCCUGAUUACGAUGUAUCACAAGCAUGUAAUCUGAUUAGAGUGAGACAUCAUAAAAUUCAUAUUGUGCCAUUGCGCCAGGCUCAGUCAAGACAGCCUGAUGAUGGUAAGGAUACACUAAACUUUUAUUGGUUAGGCAUAAGCAAAGAUCAGUCUGGUAUGAAAUGCAGUGCGUAUAAUUAGGUGGCUCUUCUACUAUGUAAUUUUACAUUGGAAAAAAGUCCACACAAUCAUUUGAUUUUCAAACAUUUGUAUGUAAGACUUAUAAAUACCUGUAAGAAUCAUUAUCAACUACUACUGAAGACAAUUGAUACGUUUCAUAAUUCGAAAAUUUAAUAAGUACAUUUGUUUUAUAAAUAGAAAAAAUAUAAUAAGUAUACCAGAACUGACUACUAAAACUACAAUAGAAAUAUAAUUACUUUUCAAGUAAUUUAAUAUUUUCUACCUGCAUAUGCAGCAAGACCUAUGAAUCAGCAUUGAGAAUGGAAAAGGAAAUCAGUGACGUGAUGUAUACAUAAAGGGAUUAAAAACCAGGGAUUAAUAUAUGAAGCAAUAUCAACUCAAGAAAGAUGACAACAUACUAAGGUUAGAAUGUUCUGAGCAUUGGUCCUCUUUGGAUAGCAUGGCAGACUAGUGACAAAAUAUUGAACUACAGUCCUAGUAGAGAACUUACAGUUAAAUGUGGUACUUGCUUAUAUCUAACUUUUUAAAACAAUUUAUUGUUUCUUAUUAUCAGUGCUGUUGCAUAUAUGUUAAUAAAUAUCUCCACAGAAAUGUUAUUUUGGUGUUCUUCAGAUAAUCAUUCCUAUAUAUAGAUAUAUAGAUAUACAUACAUACAAAUCAAUAUAGUGGGGUAUUUGGAGGUGUUAGCAGGAGACAUUUUUCACCUAGAUUUCUAGGCUUUCUAAGCAAAUUAAGUCAUGUGCAUGUGCUGCAUGCCUGCCAUGCUUAUGAUGAAAAAAAAAGGCUAAGUGAGCAUAUUAUAAAAAAUAUAUAUUGGCACUAUAUAUUGUUUCUAUGAACAACACUUUCAUAUAAAAUAACAGCGAACAUGAAAAAUGUAUCCCCAUGCUAAAACAUGUAGAUUCUUUUUCUGGGGUUUUCUGUAAAAUUAUAUAAAACAUAGUGUGACAUCCCAGCCCAUGAGCCAGUGGGCCAAAAAUCGGGCACUGCAUGCUACUGUAGCAGCAAGGAUUUUAGUCCCAAACCAAGUGGAAACCAGUUAGACCAGCUUAAAUACCAGGCCGGAAAGCGUAUUAACACGAAGUGAGGAUAAAAGCGUAAGUAGGUUAAUACGUAGGUGUGGUUCACUCAACAUGUAGAGUGAAUCUUAACCGUAUUUCGGGUCGGGGCAUUACAAUUGGUAUAAGCCAACUUUCGCUGUGUCACGGGCGCCAUACAUGCUCUGGCACUGGAAGUGGGUUAGCCGGGUCAGAUGUGCCGAUGUGUCACGAGCGUGUGCGGGUCAGAUGUGCGGGCAUGGUGCGCAUGACGCGUGGGUCCUGUGUGGACAAGGUACGGCACAUGCUCCGGCUCUGGAAGUGGGUUAGCCGGGUCAGAUGCGCUGCUAUGUCACAGGCGUGUGCGGGUCAAAUGUGCGGGCAUGGUGCGCAUGACGUGUGGGUCCUGUGUGGACAAGGUAUGGCACAUGCUCCGGCACUGGAAGUGGGUUAGCCGUAUUUCAGAUCGGGGCAUUACACAUAGACCCUACACAGAACCACUGGUCACUGGACAUAGCCUACUGUAUUGAGAGAUGUGUCCAUUACCACUCUUAUAAAGAGUUAAAACCAUCACUGAAGGCAUAGCACAUUAACCUUAAAGUUUUAUGGCUGUACAUUAAAAUUUACAUCACUGGUAUUUAUCGAAAUAUUCAAGACUGUUGACUAAAAAAUGUAGAAAAUUUUUAGUUAUGCACAGAUACUCGUAUGCAUUUAAAUUCAAAUGCCAUAUAAAAGAGUCCCAAGUAAAUCCUUAUUUUUUGUGCUAUGGAAAUCAGAUAUUGUUAUCGCUUUGUGGUAAGUUCACAGAUACAGCAACGCGAGCUCAAAAGAUAAUACAACUACAGGCAGUCAUCGAAUAGCUUUGCGCAAAAGUUGUUAACAAAAUAAACAAGAACAGGUAAAACGUUAUGUGAAUGAGUUGGCCAGAUUCUGUCAAGGCAUCAAAUGGACAAAAUGUAAUAAUGAUAUUUGUGGCAUCAUGCACAUUUUCUCAAACUAGGAUAUGCAUAAAUAUCUGGUGCGGUCUUUUAAGCAUGAAAAACAAGUAUACCAGAACAUAUCCUCUCAUAUAUGUAUAUGGUAUUUUGCACCAUAAGAUGAAUUCAGGUAAUCAUACAUAUCCUCUCAUAUAUGUAGGUGCACAAAAGAUCCAACUGAUUAUAUUUAACAUAAAAUAUAAGGCCAUCCUAUCUAGUACCCUACAUUCUUUUAUUAGGUUAAACUGUUUCAGCAAAGCUUAUUGUUUUGGUAUUCAAAAAACAUAAAUUAAAUUUCCAGAUAUAUUGAAGUAUGAGCUACCUUACUCAUAAAAAGAGAAUGCAGCAUCGGUGCAUGCGAAAAAUAAGGUGCAUCACAAGUUUCCCAACCUAACAUCUUAC
rnacentral:lncRNA from 1 species